rnacentral:tRNA from 1 species
GCAUCGGUGGUUCAGUGGGAGAAUUUUCACCUCCCAUGCGGGAGGCCUGGGUUUGAUUCCGAGCCCAUGCU